rnacentral:piRNA from 1 species
UUCUCAGAAAGUAGAUGGAUCUGAAUCGA